GCGCUGGUUUAGCUCAGUGGUUACUUCGAACAAACUCGUCCUGCUCUCCAUCCCUCCCCGGGAUCGAACCACGGGCGCUGUCCAGUGCUUUU
rnacentral:vault_RNA from 1 species